rnacentral:rRNA from 1 species
UACGUAGGGUGCGAGCGUUAAUCGGAAUUACUGGGCGUAAAGCGUGCGCAGGCGGUUCGUUAAGUCAGCUGUGAAAGCCCCGGGCUCAACCUGGGAAUUGCGGUUGAAACUGGCGAACUAGAAUCUGGCAGAGGGGGGUGGAAUUCCACGUGUAGCAGUGAAAUGCGUAGAGAUGUGGAGGAACACCGAUGGCGAAGGCAGCCCCCUGGGCUGAGAUUGACGCUCAUGCACGAAAGCGUGGGGAGCAAACAGG